GACGAACGCUGGCGGCGUGCCUAAUACAUGCAAGUAGAACGCUGAAGAGAGGAGCUUGCUCUUCUUGGAUGAGUUGCGAACGGGUGAGUAACGCGUAGGUAACCUGCCUUGUAGCGGGGGAUAACUAUUGGAAACGAUAGCUAAUACCGCAUAACAAUGGAUGACACAUGUCAUUUAUUUGAAAGGGGCAAUUGCUCCACUACAAGAUGGACCUGCGUUGUAUUAGCUAGUAGGUGAGGUAAUGGCUCACCUAGGCGACGAUACAUAGCCGACCUGAGAGGGUGAUCGGCCACACUGGGACUGAGACACGGCCCAGACUCCUACGGGAGGCAGCAGUAGGGAAUCUUCGGCAAUGGGGGCAACCCUGACCGAGCAACGCCGCGUGAGUGAAGAGGGUUUUCGGAUCGUAAAGCUCUGUUGUAAGUCAAGAACGGGUGUGAGAGUGGAAAGUUCACACUGUGACGGUAGCUUACCAGAAAGGGACGGCUAACUACGUG
rnacentral:rRNA from 1 species